AUUGAACGCUGGCGGCAUGCCUUACACAUGCAAGUCGAACGGUAACAGGUCUUCGGAUGCUGACGAGUGGCGAACGGGUGAGUAAUACAUCGGAACGUGCCCGAGAGUGGGGGAUAACGAGGCGAAAGCUUUGCUAAUACCGCAUACGAUCUACGGAUGAAAGCAGGGGACCGCAAGGCCUUGCGCGAACGGAGCGGCCGAUGGCAGAUUAGGUAGUUGGUGGGAUAAAAGCUUACCAAGCCGACGAUCUGUAGCUGGUCUGAGAGGACGACCAGCCACACUGGGACUGAGACACGGCCCAGACUCCUACGGGAGGCAGCAGUGGGGAAUUUUGGACAAUGGGCGAAAGCCUGAUCCAGCCAUGCCGCGUGCAGGAUGAAGGCCUUCGGGUUGUAAACUGCUUUUGUACGGAACGAAAAGACUCUGGUUAAUACCUGGGGUCCAUGACGGUACCGUAAGAAUAAGCACCGGCUAACUACGUGCCAGCCGCCGCAGUAAAAC
rnacentral:rRNA from 1 species